rnacentral:rRNA from 1 species
AACACGUAAAGAACCUACCUUAUAGACAGGGACAACUAUUGGAAACGAUAGCUAAUACCUGAUAAGAAAGAAACUCGCAUGAGAGAAGUUCGAAAGUCGGAGCAAUCUGACACUAUAAGAUGGCUUUGCGGUGCAUUAGCUAGUUGGUAGGGUAAAAGCCUACCAAGGCGACGAUGCAUAGCCGACCUGAGAGGGUGAUCGGCCACAUUGGGACUGAGACACGGCCCAGACUCCUACGGGAGGCAGCAGUC